UACCGAGGAAGAAGGAACUAAGUAAGUACUGCUAAUCCUUACAGACCGCGGUUAAACUCCGCGGCUUCCUCA
rnacentral:tRNA from 1 species